CAGGAACAAAUGAGCAGACUUCUUUCCAAAUAGAGUUGAAAGGAAUUCACAUCACUGCUUGAAAAGUGGAGAAGAUGAGCAAGAGAAGAGUGGCAGAAGUUGAGAAGAACAGGAAACAGAAAACUGCAUAUUUAUACACUCUAGACAAACUGCACCAUAUCUCUUUCUACAAUGAAGAAAUAAGUUUUCUCAUGAACAUGGUACUAGUACCUAGUACAGUAGCCAUCCACCCCCACAAACUUGGAUUCUUCUCUGACUGGCUCCAACUGUAGAAACAAAAACAAAAACAGAUCUAGCAUUUCC
rnacentral:lncRNA from 1 species